UACGUAGGGGGCAAGCGUUGUCCGGAUUUAUUGGGCGUAAAGAGCGUGUAGGCGGCCGUACAGGUCAGCUGUGAAAACUCGAGGCUCAACCUCGAGACGUCGGUUGAAACCGUACGGCUAGAGUCCGGAAGAGGAGAGUGGAAUUCCCGGUGUAGCGGUGAAAUGCGCAGAUAUCGGGAAGAACACCCGUGGCGAAGGCGGCUCUCUGGGACGGUACUGACGCUGAGACGCGAAAGCGUGGGGGAGCGAACAGG
rnacentral:rRNA from 1 species